rnacentral:lncRNA from 9 species
GGGGCGCAGGCGGGCUGCGCCGGGGUCCCGGCUCUGCGCUGCUGUGCAGUGCGCGGAAUUUUCUUUCCAAGCGGCCGCCUGGUUAUGCCCGCGGCUCCCUCCGCCCACACUUCGCCGCUCCCGGCGCAGAAACCUCACAGAAUAUUUAUACACUGCUGAGGGCUGGGAACCCAGCGGAAUCGGUCGAGGCCCUGCCCUGCGGAUGCUCCUGUCGGUAAGAGACAGCCACACACAGAUGCUGGCAGCCAUGCAGAGACAAGAGAGAAACCUCUGGCUAUAGACCCAGAGGAGAAGGUACCAUGACUGGGGGAGGAGGGUGACUGGGGGCUGGGUGCCCUUCCUAGAGAGAUUCGUGCACAGAAGUGUUGGAAUCAGACCCAGAGCCACUUCUGGCCCUCCCUUUCUUGAACUUCACUUUCCAUAUCUGUACAAUGGGAACAAUAACAUUUAUUUCGUGAAGGACUUUGAGAACUAAGUGACAUAAAGUAUGAAGGAAAAAAAAAAAAAAAAAAAAAAAAGCCCAGCAGGAAUUACCACUGAGGCUAAGUGGGUUAGGAAUCUGACUAGUGAGAGUCCCUGUUGUGGCUGAGUGGGUUAAGAACUUGACUAGUAUCCAUGAGGAUGCAGGUUUGAGCCGUGGCCUGGCUCAGUAGGUUAAGGCUCCUGCGUUGCUGCAAGCUGCGAUGUAGGUCACAGACGUGGCAGGGAUCCCGUGUGGCCGUGGCUGUGGCAUAGGCUGGCAGCUGCAGCUCUAAGGCCCCACCCUAAAAAGAAAAAAAGAAGAAAACAAAGCCUAGCAUGGUGCUAGGCACACAGAAAGUGUUCCAAAAUUAUUUUCCCUGCCCUUUAAUGAGCAGCUUUGUAGAUGGCAGGUGUGGGGGUAAAGCCAUAAAAGCCUUUGAAAAGGCAGCAUACUUGGGGCAAUGUUAGGGCACCUGGGAGGGCUGGAGCCCAGGCAGCUGGGGGAAAUGAGGCUGGGGCUAGAUCUUAUGAGGGUUCUUAACUGCCACUCUUGAGACACUGGGGUGAGCUUGAGGGACAUCUCUGAGGAGGGAAGUGACUGGUCACAUAUGUCUUUAAGCAUCUUCCACC